rnacentral:rRNA from 1 species
GAUGAACGCUGGCGGCGUGCCUAAUACAUGCAAGUCGAGCGAACAGAUGAGGAGCUUGCUCCUCUGACGUUAGCGGCGGACGGGUGAGUAACACGUGGAUAACCUACCUAUAAGACUGGGAUAACUUCGGGAAACCGGAGCUAAUACCGGGUAAUAUAUUGAACCGCAUGGUUCAAUAGUGAAAGACGGUUUUGCUGUCACUUAUAGAUGGAUUCGCGCCGCAUUAGCUAGUUGGUAAGGUAACGGCUUACCAAGGCAACGAUGCGUAGCCGACCUGAGAGGGUGAUCGGCCACACUGGAACUGAGACACGGUCCAGACUCCUACGGGAGGCAGCAGUAGGGAAUCUUCCGCAAUGGGCGAAAGCCUGACGGAGCAACGCCGCGUGAGUGAUGAAGGUCUUCGGAUCGUAAAACUCUGUUAUUAGGGAAGAACAAAUGUGUAAGUAACUAUGCACGUCUUGACGGUACCUAAUCAGAAAGCCACGGCUAACUACGUG